AUCCAGAUGACGAGUCCCAAGUGGGACGGAACGUGCAUCCUGGAU
rnacentral:hammerhead_ribozyme from 1 species